AGCAUGGUCUUAGCUUGCUAAGGCCGAUGGCGACCGGCGCACGGGUGAGUAACACGUAUCCAACCUGCCGUCUACUCUUGGACAGCCUUCUGAAAGGAAGAUUAAUACAAGAUGGCAUCAUGAGUUCACAUGUUCACAUGAUUAAAGGUAUUCCGGUAGACGAUGGGGAUGCGUUCCAUUAGAUAGUAGGCGGGGUAACGGCCCACCUAGUCUUCGAUGGAUAGGGGUUCUGGGAGGAAGGUCCCCCACAUUGGAACUGAGACACGGUCCAAACUCCUACGGGAGGCAGCAGUGAGGAAUAUUGGUCAAUGGGCGCAGGCCUGAACCAGCCAAGUAGCGUGAAGGAUGACUGCCCUAUGGGUUGUAAACUUCUUUUAUAAAGGAAUAAAGUCGGGUAUGUAUACCCGUUUGCAUGUACUUUAUGAAUAAGGAUCGGCUAACUCCGUGCCAGCAGCCGCGGUAAUACGGAGGAUCCGAGCGUUAUCCGGAUUUAUUGGGUUUAAAGGGAGCGUAGAUGGAUGUUUAAGUCAGUUGUGAAAGUUUGCGGCUCAACCGUAAAAUUGCAGUUGAUACUGGAUAUCUUGAGUGCAGUUGAGGCAGGCGGAAUUCGUGGUGUAGCGGUGAAAUGCUUAGAUAUCACGAAGAACU
rnacentral:rRNA from 1 species